rnacentral:rRNA from 1 species
CCUACGGGAGGCAGCAGUGAGGAAUAUUGGUCAAUGGACGAGAGUCUGAACCAGCCAAGUCGCGUGAAGGAUGACUGCCCUAUGGGUUGUAAACUUCUUUUAUAGAGGAAUAAAACGCGGCACGUGUGCCUUUUUGCAUGUACUUUAUGAAUAAGCAUCGGCUAACUCCGUGCCAGCAGCCGCGGUAAUACGGCGGAUGCGAGCGUUAUCCGGAUUUAUUGGGUUUAAAGGGAGCGUAGGCCGGUCUGUAAGCGUGCCGUGAAAUUUUGUGGCUCAACCAUGGGAGUGCGGCGCGAACUGGAGAACUAGAGAGCGCGGAAGGCAGGCGGAAUGCGUGGUGUAGCGGUGAAAUGCUUAGAUAUCACGAAGAACCCCGAUUGCGAAGGCAGCCUGCCGCAGCGUUACUGACGCUGAAGCACGAAAGCGCGGGUAUCGAACAGGAUUAGAUACCCCAGUAGUC